rnacentral:rRNA from 1 species
GAGGCCGUCACAGGUGCUGCAUGGCUGUCGUCAGCUCGUGCCGUGAGGUGUAUGGUUAAGUCCUGCAACGAGCGCAACCCUCGUCGCUAGUUGAUUUCUCUAGCGAGACUGCCCCGCAAAACGGGGAGGAAGGUGGGGAUGACGUCAAGUCAGCAUGGCCUUUAUAUCUUGGGCUACACACACGCUACAAUGGAUGGCACAAUAGGUUGCAACAGCGCGAGCUGAAGCUAAUCCCCAAAGCCAUCCUCAGUACAGAUUGCAGGCUGAAACCCGCCUGCAUGAAGUCGGAGUUGCUAGUAACCGCAAAUCAGCAUGUUGCGGUGAAUACGUUCUCGGGCCUU